GGAGUCUGGUCCGUGUCUCAGUACCAGUGUGGGGGAUAAGCCUCUCAGCUCCCCUAGACAUCGUCGGCUUGGUGGGCCGUUGCCCCGCCAACUACCUAAUGUCACGCAUGCCCAUCCCAUACCACCGAAGCUUUCGUCACAAAACCAUGCGAUUCUGUGACCAUAUGGGGUAUUAGUCCGGGUUUCCCCGAGUUAUCCCCCUGUAAAGGGUAGGUUGCAUACGCGUUACGCACCCGUGCGCCGGUCGCCAGCAGAGUAUUGCUACUCCCUGCUGCCCCUCGACUUGCAUGUGUUAAGCCUGCCGCUAGCGUUCAUC
rnacentral:rRNA from 1 species